UACGUAGGGGGCAAGCGUUGUCCGGAUUUAUUGGGCGUAAAGGGCGUGUAGGCGGUUUGACAGGUCUGCUGUGAAAACUCGAGGCUCAACCUCGAGAUGUCGGCGGAAACCGUCUGGCUAGAGUCCGGAAGAGGAGAGUGGAAUUCCUGGUGUAGCGGUGAAAUGCGCAGAUAUCAGGAAGAACACCUAUGGCGAAGGCAGCUCUCUGGGACGGUACUGACGCUGAGACGCGAAAGCGUGGGGAGCGAACAGG
rnacentral:rRNA from 1 species